rnacentral:rRNA from 1 species
GGACUACCAGGGUAUCUAAUCCUGUUCGCUCCCCACGCUUUCGCUUCUCAGCGUCAGUAUCGGCCCAGAGACCCGCCUUCGCCACCGGUGUUCCUCCUGAUAUCUGCGCAUUCCACCGCUACACCAGGAAUUCCAGUCUCCCCUGCCGAACUCUAGCCCGCCCGUAUCGGGAGCAGGCCCGCGGUUGAGCCGCGGGUUUUCACUCCCGACGUGACGAGCCGCCUACAAGCUCUUUACGCCCAAUAAUUCCGGACAACGCUCGCACCCUACGUAUUACCGCGGCGGCUGGCAC